UUGCCAUGGCAAUUACGCUGCAUCUCUAAACUGCUCUGAGCAGGUUUUGUUCGUGAUUAACUCGAGGUUACGCUGCAUCUCUAAAAUGGACUAUACACCACAUAGUGUUAAUGAUGAGAAGUAGGUUAUUAUUAUGGUAUGUAUACACACCACUUGAUAGAACAUUUUUAGAUUUCAUCCUGAUUGUUUCACUGCAGUUGCAGCUGAAAUUAAGUUAUUUACAUUCAUGCAGCUAGCUCUGCAGCUUUGGUGAUUUUAGAGAGGAGAUCUUAAUUAAUUAACGGGACAGUUUAUUAGACGUAGCCCAUCUGUAGGCUAUAAUUGAAUUAUCCUCAGUGUUUUCACAUAUUUAGACUAUUUUACAUGUCCAAAAAAUGCGGAGCCAUGGUGGGGGUUAAUAAACCGAGGAAAAAAAAUCCAAGAUGAAAGUGGCAAAUUUACAAAAACAAAACUCGGAAAUUCCCCGAAAUUAAAAUCACAAGAAAUCUAAAUCAACCUGGUGCUUUCUUCUAAAUAUGCCCAAUCCACUGCAAAGUCUCUAAGGGGCAUAAUAUAGUAAUUGUAGGCUAAACUCAUGAUAUUUUCCCACUGCUAAAUCCUAUUGUGAAGUCUAACAUAGUGUGGCAGGUUAAGGGGUUUUCUUCCUCCCGCCACUACUGUAUAUGGCACUGCGCUGGUGCCCUGACAACCGGAUGCCGCUGCCGUGGCCUAGAAGUACAGGUGGUGAUGCACCUGUGUCAGUCUCUUUCUUACCUGUGUUGGGCGUCUUGGCUGUUGGUGACGGUGAUCCGGUGUUGUGGUGUGCUUAUGAGUGCUGUCACAGCUGUUAUGGCCUGCAGCGCAACAGUUUAGCCGGUGGUUAAUACCCCUAAACCUGCGGAGUCGCCGGUCGGCGGUCCGUGUGACACCAAGGUCAUCAAGGUUCGGGUGUUUUUCACUGUUUCAGAGAAGACGCGCAUUUCAUAUGGCAUCAGUCCUUCCUCUGGUCCUCCUUCCCUCAAUCUGCUGAGAUCAUUGCAGGGGUUCUUUACUACUGCUCUCUGCCUCGGGCUUUUCAUGUAUGCACAUCGAAGGGCAAGGAGAUCCCAGAACAGAGCCAUAAUGCCACAAUAUUAGUUCUUUGAUGAAAGUUGUCCUGACUGAAGUGUGAUCUUUGGUGCUCUAAUGUUCCUCAUUAUGGUCGUCAUCAGUCUGGCCGUCAAAAUCAGGAAACUUCUUGCAGAAUCUGUGCCCUGAGUUUCCACUGGAAUCCACCUCUCCAUCUUCACUCCUUCAGCCCCUUUUCCCUUAAUAAAACCUGUUUAAUUCUGAG